CAGUCGCCGCGGGAAUACGUAGGUGGCAAGCGUUGUCCGGAAUUAUUGGGCGUAAAGGGCUCGCAGGCGGUUCCUUAAGUCUGAUGUGAAAGCCCCCGGCUCAACCGGGGAGGGUCAUUGGAAACUGGGAAACUUGAGUGCAGAAGAGGAGAGUGGAAUUCCACGUGUAGCGGUGAAAUGCGUAGAGAUGUGGAGGAACACCAGUGGCGAAGGCGACUCUCUGGUCUGUAACUGACGCUGAGGAGCGAAAGCGUGGGGAGCGAACAGGAUUAGAUACCCCCGUAGUCCCUGUCUCUUAUAC
rnacentral:rRNA from 1 species